GACGUAGGGCGCGAGCGUUGUCCGGAUUUAUUGGGCGUAAAGAGCUCGUAGGCGGCUUGUUGCGUCAGCUGUGAAAACCCGCAGCUCAACUGUGGGCUUGCAGCUGAUACGGGCAGGCUCGAGUUCGGUAGGGGAGACUGGAAUUCCUGGUGUAGCGGUGAAAUGCGCAGAUAUCAGGAGGAACACCGGUGGCGAAGGCGGGUCUCUGGGCCGGUACUGACGCUGAGACGCGAAAGCGUGGGGAGCGAACAGG
rnacentral:rRNA from 1 species